rnacentral:rRNA from 1 species
UUAGUCCUACGGGAGGCAGCAGUGAGGAAUAUUGGUCAAUGGUCGGGAGACUGAACCAGCCAAGCCGCGUGAGGGAUGAAGGUACAGAGUAUCGUAAACCUCUUUUGUCAGGGAACAAAGGCGGGGACGUGUCUCCGGAUGAGUGUACCUGAAGAAAAAGCAUCGGCUAACUCCGUGCCAGCAGCCGCGGUAAUACGGAGGAUGCGAGCGUUAUCCGGAUUUAUUGGGUUUAAAGGGUGCGCAGGCGGUCUGUUAAGUCAGCGGUCAAAGCCCGGGGCCCAACCCCCGGCCGCCGUUG